CCAAAAACUACAUCUAUCAACAAUCAUGACCUUGCAAAUCAAACAGUCAAUGAAAAUUUUCAUCAACCAGUAAAUAAUACUAUGAAACCUAAACGUCAACAUAUUCAUCAUGUUGAAGAACAAGUCAAUGAAAUAAUGUUAAGUCAAAACUCGAAGCUGAAUAAGUGGAAAUUAUCUAGAAUAUCUAGUAUGUUUCCUCGUAUCGAAAAGCUACCACAAACUAAAAGGAU